rnacentral:rRNA from 1 species
UAGGGAAUCUUCCGCAAUGGACGCAAGUCUGACGGAGCAACGCCGCGUGAGUGAAGAAGGAUUUCGGUUCGUAAAACUCUGUUGUUAGAGAAGAACAGCGCAUAGAGUAACUGUUAUGCGUGUGACGGUAUCUAACCAGAAAGCCACGGCUAACUACGUGCCAGCAGCCGCGGUAAUACGUAGGUGGCGAGCGUUGUCCGGAUUUAUUGGGCGUAAAGCGAGCGCAGGCGGUCAAUUAAGUCUGAUGUGAAAGCCCCCGGCUCAACCGGGGAGGGUCAUUGGAAACUGGUUGACUUGAGUGCAGAAGAGGAGAGUGGAAUUCCAUGUGUAGCGGUGAAAUGCGUAGAUAUAUGGAGGAACACCAGUGGCGAAGGCGACUCUCUGGUCUGUAACUGACGCUGAGGCUCGAAAGCGUGGGUAGCAAACAGG